rnacentral:pre_miRNA from 10 species
UGCAUUUGUCAAAAGUAUUACCCUAACAGGAGCAUUGACUUGUCUUGUUUUCAUAGAGUAAGUGCUACUUGUUGGGGUAGUUUUACUUGACUUAAACAACCAUA